CUUCCAGUCCCCCGUCCCCCAAAGGGGUCGUGACCCACAGGGGGCAAACCACUGUGCUAACGGUACCACAGUCUUUAAUACAUAGACCUUUGGGGGUCACCUAUUGAAACUGUAGCAUCUGCUUUCCCUAGUCUGUGAUCCUUCUACAGAAUGAAGGAAUGUCUCUGAGAUACCAUGUUCCAUUGGCGUAAUGGCAACAAGCCUCUCUCCCUCCCUCCUUAACUUCUUCCCAGGGUUGCUUGGGAGAUGAAAUGAGAUCGUUUCUAUGAAAGCUCUUAGUAAGCGGCUCUGUGCUGGGCAGAUGUUCCUCCAGCUGUGAGCCAGGGAUGAGAGCCCAGCUCUGGCACCACCUCCUCCACUUGCUCCCAGCCCCACAAAGCUAUGGGCUCAAGGGAGGGGGCAUGCUUCCCAAGCGUGAGCCUUGGCUAUUAGGGUUCUCCUGAUUGGGGUAAUUUUGGUGCUUCGGAGUUCCAGGCGGAUGGUACUGCAUCUCCACUUUCUUGGUAGCUCUGUCCCACAGAGAACUCCAGCGAGGGACCACAGCGGGGAACUGGCUGGAAUGCUGGGCAUACCAGGAAGAUUGGCCCCUCAGGCUUGGAAGAUGCUUGCUCAGACUGUGAGAUGCAUGCCUUGCAAACACAAGGACCUGACCUGAACGCCCAGGACCCACAUUAAAACAAAACAGACAAACAAACAACACAAAAGACUGAAAUUGUAAUGGAGAAAGGAAGGUUGGUCCUUCGGGCUCACUGGCUGGCCAGCCUACCCUGCUAGAUAAGUUUCAGGCCAGGGUGGGAUCUGAUGUCCUGUUCAGAAAGGUGGAUGGCUGUUGAGAAACAACACUCAGACUCAGAUACCACACACCCACACCCACCCACACACACACACACAGAGCACUCACCACACACAUGUAUACCCAUCACCCACACACAUACACCCUACACACACUCCACACACACACAUAUACCACACAUACACACACCACAUACAUAUACAUACAUCCCCCACACACAUACCACACAUACACAUACUACACAUAUACACAUCACAUGCAUAUACACACUACACACAAAUACAUACCACAUCUCUCUCUCUCACACACACACACACACACAUGCACACACUACACACAUAUACACACCAUAUAUACAUACACAUAGCACACACACCAUGCAUAUACAUAAAUACUUACAACACAAAUAUACAUAUAGCACACCUUCAGACCCCCCCCCAUACACACAC
rnacentral:lncRNA from 1 species